CUUCUAUUCUGUUAUAUUCUUAUCUAGUCUGCAGAUCUUCAGUGGCCUAGACUGGAAUGAUUCAGUAAGUUAUAGUACGUCUGUCUCUGAUUCAGGCAGGGUAUCCUACGGGGAGGGAGAUGAUGGGGCCGAUCAGCCCGUCCUUGCCCUGGCUGUCCGAGGGCCUCACGCCCGCACCGUGUGGCAGGAUGUAACAGGCCCUUCAGACCCCCUGCUGGCUAGGAAGACAGACCCGGCAUCCAUCAACGCCCUGCACUACAGCAGCAAGAACUUGCCGCUCUUCUAUUCCCCACGCCUGGCCAGCAGUGUGCACAGGGAACUGGUCACGUGGUUCGCAGGGAGAGUUCCAGGAAAUAAUUCCCAGAACCCUGACCAGGCUCCAACUGACAGUGGACGUGUUCUUGAUAGUGUCUCCAGCGGUGGCGCCAUGCUGCUACAGCCAGGUUCUGUCUGUGUGUGAGGGCAGAGGGUUCAGUCUGAGGGGGGUCCAGAGGCUGCAGCUCCCCACCAAACGAACCCAGGCACUCGGACUCACCGGUCAGCAGGUAACGGCCCCACCUCCACCACACUGUCUCCAGAUCAGUCACACCACACUGAAUUGACAGCAAAGCGCCUGAGAGGAGCUGGCGAGAUCAGUGUUGACUAUGCCCUUAAAAACUUGUCUUUCUUUUUGACAAGGUGUCAGUGUUCUGCAGUCUGCCCACUGUUACUGUGGAUGAGAAGAAGGUUGAGCUGUCUUCCCACUGCCUGGUCUUACUUCUGAGGAGAGAGAGUGGCCUGCGUCACUGUGCCAGCCUGCCUGCAGGUAUAGCACGUAACCCUGUAAUACCUAAUAUCUCUGCUUCUAUCACCUCAAAAGUACACUGAGUGUAUAAAACAUUAGGAACACCUUCCUAGUAUUGAGUUGCACGCCCUUUUGCCCUCAGAACAGCCUCAAUUCGUUGGGGCAUGGACUACAAGGCGUUGAAAGCGUUCCACAGGGAUGCUGGCCGAUGUUUACGCCAAUGCUUCCCACAGUUGUGUCAAGUUGCCUGGACAUCCUUUGGAUGGUGGACCAUUGAUACACACGGGAAACUGUUGAGUGUGAAAAACCCAGCAGCGUUGCAGUUCUUGACACUCAAGC
rnacentral:lncRNA from 1 species